rnacentral:rRNA from 1 species
AGUGAACGCUGGCGGUAGGCCUAACACAUGCAAGUCGAACGGCAGCACAGUAAGAGCUUGCUCUUACGGGUGGCGAGUGGCGGACGGGUGAGGAGUACAUCGGAAUCUACUUUUUCGUGGGGGAUAACGUAGGGAAACUUACGCUAAUACCGCAUACGACCUACGGGUGAAAGCAGGGGAUCUUCGGACCUUGCGCGAUUGAAUGAGCCGAUGUCGGAUUAGCUAGUUGGCGGGGUAAAGGCCCACCAAGGCGACGAUCCGUAGCUGGUCUGAGAGGAUGAUCAGCCACACUGGAACUGAGACACGGUCCAGACUCCUACGGGAGGCAGCAGUGGGGAAUAUUGGACAAUGGGCGGAAGCCUGAUCCAGCCAUACCGCGUGGGUGAAGAAGGCCUUCGGGUUGUAAAGCCCUUUUGUUGGGAAAGAAAAGCAGCAGGUUAAUACCCCGCUGUUCUGACGGUACCCAAAGAAUAAGCACCGGCUAACUUCGUG